rnacentral:rRNA from 1 species
UACGUAGGGUGCGAGCGUUAAUCGGAAUUACUGGGCGUAAAGCGUGCGCAGGCGGUUUUAUAAGCCAGCUGUGAAAGCCCCGGGCUCAACCUGGGAAUGGCAUUUGGGACUGUAAGGCUGGAGUAUGGCAGAGGGGACUAGAAUUCCUGGUGUAGCAGUGAAAUGCGUAGAUAUCGUAAGGAACGCCAGUGGCGAAAGCGAAUCUCUGGGCAGCAACUGACGCUGAGGCACGAAGGCCAGGGGAGCAAACGGG